rnacentral:rRNA from 1 species
UGACGAGAUGCAACUGGAUGUCGGGUGCAAUUUGGCACGCUGUAUCGAAGCUAACGCGUUAAGUUCCCCGCCGGGGGAGUACGGUCGCAAGACUGAAACUCAGAAGAAUUGACGGGGGCCCGCACACGCGGUGGAGUAUGUGGUUUAUUUCAAUGCAACGCAAAAAACCUUACCUGGCCUUGACAUGUCGAAAACUUUCCGGAGAUGAAUUGGUGCCUUCAGGAACUCCAACACAGGUGCUGCAUGGCUGUCGUCACCUCUCGUCGUGAGAUGUUGGGUUAAAUCCCGCAACGAGCGCAACCCUUGUCCUUAUUUGCCCCCACGUAAUGGUGGGAACUCUAAGGAGACCGCCGGUGACAAACCGGAAGAAGGUGGGGAUGAAGUCCAGUCCUCAUGGCCCUUACGGCCAGGGCUACACCCGUACUACAAUGGUUGGGACAGAGGGCUGCCAACCCGCCACUGUCAACCUAUCCCACAAACCCUAUCUCAGUCCGGAUUGGAGUCUGCAACUCGACUCCAUGAAGUCGGAAUCGCUAGUAAUCGCAGAUCAGCAUUGCUGCGGUGAAUACUUUCCCGGGCCUUGUACACCCCGCCCGUCACACCAGGGGAUUUUGUUGCACCAAAAGCAGGUAGCUUAACCUUCGGGAGGGCGCUAGCCACGGAGUGGCCGAUGACGGGGGGUGAGUCAAAAAGGGGAAAAACACAAA